UUCAAAUAAAGAAAAUGCAGCAGUGGGAUAUUAAUAUUACUAAUAAGGUGUAUAGAUAUUUAUUUUAAAACAUCAGCAUAUUAAAUGAUACUGUGUGCACUUGAUAAUAUUUUCAGGAAGUAGAAUUUGAAUGCAGGCCACCUCAAAUGUUAAAGCCUACAAAUAUAUCAUACAAGUUAACUGAAUCUUAACUGAUGCUGAUUUUAGUUGUCUGAUUCUGUAUUUUUUCCUCUUUGUCUUUUGUUACACAGAGUGAAAUACAUCGUUAGUUUUACCUUUGCUGACUGCUGAUCUGAUCGUCUUAGUUUGAGUGAACAGAUCUUUGGUUUUGCCUUUGCUGACUACUGAUCUGAUCGUCUCCACUCUGGUGACCUGCUGCAGACAACCCUCUCCCUCUAUCAUUAUCAAGCAAUUCUGUCUGUCCUAUCACUCUCCCUGCUCUAUCUAAUUUGACAGCCAUUCUAUCUUGUAUCAAUCUAUCCCAUCUGCUCUAUCUAAUUUGACAGCCAUUCCAUCUUGUAUCACUCUAUCCCUACUGCUCUAUCUAAUUUUAUCAGAACCCAGUUUUUGAGAAAUCCAAGUUUUCAGAAAUUGUUAUCAGAACUUUGUCGAUCUGUAUUCAGAAUUCUGAGAGAUCUCCACUCUCACUGCUCCUUCUUUCCUGUCCUCUCACAUCCAGUCAUUUUGUUAGAAAUUACAAGUAGAAGGUUGAAUAUACAGUAGUAGAAUUACAGUAGACUUUAUAGUAGAAACUACUUACACAGCCCUACAUUUGCAGUUUUAGUCUCAGCAUUACACUUUGGAAUAAACACUGAUAGUUUGGCUUACAGGUGAAAUUCCUUUGAUAAAUCAUAUAACAUAUACACCUUUUUAAAGGUUUAUUUGUAAUAAGAUAAUCUUGUUAUUCUGUAAUAUAUCCAAAGUGCUAUAUUCACAUAAAUAUUAGAUUAUUUCAAAUGCAUUUGGCUAGUCUGUUUCAUUGACUAUAACAUUUGACUGCAGUAAGUGUGUACUGUUAUUAUUUAAAGACAAAGCCAUUUCUGUAAGUGUAAGUGUUCAGCUGCAAUUAUCAUCGAGAAGCUGCCCUGGGGACCCAGACCCAGUUUCCUGACUGCUGCAGAACAUUCAGCUGAAGAAUCCUCAUUGCCUCUCAUUUGAUCACCACACCACCACAGCUGUUUAUAUUUGCUUUAAAAUUUAGAUAUCUGAAAAGCUAAGAGUUUUAUUAUAGUAUUUUGAUUGUUGCUAUUUAUUCUGCAUAUCCCUUUACAGAUUAACCAGUCUGGUUAAAAGAAAUAUAUGUAAGAUUAUAAACAUUUUGAAAAAGCUAAAAUAAAUCUGAGCCAAGUGUUUUGAGAGACCUUUGAAUAUCUUUCAUAUUGAGUUUAGAUUAAAGUCAACCUUGUACAUCUAUUACAUAUUCACAAGAACAUUUCAGUAACUGUACAUUUAUCAGAUUCAAUAGUAGAAGAGCUACAAGUUUUUCAGUGUUUCCAGGUUGAGUGUUUUUAUUUGUCUAUAAAUACAUAUCAGCUCCAGCUUGUACUUAAGCAAAAUGCCAAGAAAAGGUAAAAGGUCACAGGCCCAGAAGCUUAGAUGGCAAAAGGAGAAAGAACAGGUAAAUGUUUCUCAGAGUGGUGAGCAGCUAAAGGUGUCUGUUACAACUAUUCCCAGCCCAGAAGUGCAGCGCAAUAUUCAGACAUCCGCAGUGUCCUAUGCAGACGUGGUAAAGAGAGGUGCUCAGUCAGUGUCUGUACCAAAGGCUAAAGUACAACAGGUAAUCCAUACAGAACCGCAGGUAACUCUGCAAACGCAGCAUGAUGGAGAAGCUCCAGGACCGUCUCAUGUACAGGUUACAAACAGUGAAACUCGUCCACGAGUGAGUAGCAUCUGUGCAUCCCGAAGCCAGGCUUCUCCUAGGUAUGGAAAGUACCGGAAUCAGCAAUGCAUGGCUAACAGUUUGGUUUUCCUCUCAUUCUUACACGAGGAUGAAUUUAUU
ensembl:lncRNA